rnacentral:rRNA from 1 species
CGACCGGCGCACGGGUGAGUAACACGUAUCCAACCUGCCGAUGACUCGGGGAUAGCCUUUCGAAAGAAAGAUUAAUACCCGAUGGCAUAGUUCUUCCGCAUGGUAGAACUAUUAAAGAAUUUCGGUCAUCGAUGGGGAUGCGUUCCAUUAGCUUGUUGGCGGGGUAACGGCCCACCAAGGCAUCGAUGGAUAGGGGUUCUGAGAGGAAGGUCCCCCACAUUGGAACUGAGACACGGUCCAAACUCAUACGGAAGGCAGCAG